ACGGGGUGCAGCAGGCGCGAAACCUCCGCAAUGCACGCAAGUGUGACGGGGGAACUCCAAGUGUUCUCUCUUAGAGAGAACUUUUCUAUAGUGUAAAUAGCUGUAGGAAUAAGAACUGGGUCAGACGAGUGCCAGCCGCCGCGGUAAUACUCGCAGUUCAAGUGGUCUGGAUUUUUAUUGGGUCUAAAGCGUUCGUAGCCGGGCUUGCAAGUUUUCUGUGAAAUCUGGCAGCUUAACUGUCAGGCGUGCAGAGGAUACUACAAGUCUUGGGACCGGGAUGGGCUAAAGGUACUCUCGGGGUAGGGGUGAAAUCCAAUAAUCCUGAGGGGACCACCAGUGGCUAAGGCGUUUAGCUAAAACGGGUCCGACGGUGAGGAACGAAAGCUAGGGGAGCGAAUGGGAUUAGAUACCCCAGUAGUCCUAGCUGUAAAUGAUGCGGAUUAGGUGUUGCAUUUUCUUCGUGAUAGUGCAGUGCCGAAGGAAGCCGUUAAAUCCGCCACCUGGAAGUACGUCGCAAG
rnacentral:rRNA from 1 species